rnacentral:misc_RNA from 1 species
GGAUCCAUCUUCUCCAACUCCAACGUUGGCAGGCAUACAAUUAAAGGUUGAAAAGGGCAUGCGUGUUGCUGUCUGUGGUGUGGUUGGCUCAGGGAAAUCAAGCUUCCUUUCUUGCAUCCUUGGUGAGAUUCCCAGAAUCUCUGGUGAAGUUAGAAUAUGUGGAAAUGCUGCUUACGUCUCACAGUCAGCUUGGAUACAAUCUGGGACCAUAGAAGAUAAUGUCCUUUUCGGUAGCCCAAUGGAUAAGGCAAAAUAUAAGGCCGUGAUUCAUGCUUGUUCUCUGAAAAAGGACUUUGAGCUUUUCUCUCAUGGAGAUCAGACUAUUAUUGGUGAUAGAGGCAUAAAUCUUAGUGGUGGUCAAAAGCAACGUGUGCAACUUGCAAGGGCGCUCUAUCAGGACGCUGAUAUUUAUUUACUGGAUGAUCCGUUUAGUGCCGUUGAUGCACACACUGGGGCAGACUUAUUUAAGGAGUACAUACUAACUGCACUAGCAACAAAAACAGUGGUUUUUGUUACACACCAGGUUGAAUUUUUG